rnacentral:rRNA from 1 species
AUUGAACGCUGGCGGCAGGCUUAACACAUGCAAGUCGAGCGGGGGAAGGUAGCUUGCUACCGGACCUAGCGGCGGACGGGUGAGUAAUGCUUAGGAAUCUGCCUAUUAGUGGGGGACAACAUCUCGAAAGGGAUGCUAAUACCGCAUACGUCCUACGGGAGAAAGCAGGGGAUCUCCGGACCUUGCGCUAAUAGAUGAGCCUAAGUCGGAGUAGCUAGUUGGUGGGGUAAAGGCCUACCAAGGCGACGAUCUGUAGCGGGUCUGAGAGGAUGAUCCGCCACACUGGGACUGAGACACGGCCCAGACUCCUACGGGAGGCAGCAGUGGGGAAUAUUGGACAAUGGGGGGAACCCUGAUCCAGCCAUGCCGCGUGUGUGAAGAAGGCCUUAUGGUUGUAAAGCACUUUAAGCGAGGAGGAGGCUACUCUAGUUAAUACCUAGGGAUAGUGGACGUUACUCGCAGAAUAAGCACUGGCUAACUCUGUGCCAGCAGCCGCCGUAA